GUAGGUGAACCUGCGGAAGGAUCAUUAAAAAUGAAGCCGGGAAACCGGUCCUUCUAACCCUUGAUUAUCUCAAUUUGUUGCUUUGGUGGGCCGCGCAAGCACCGGCUUCGGCUGGAUCGUGCCCGCCAGAGGACCACAACUCUGUAUUAAAUGUCGUCUGAGUACUAUAAAAUAGUUAAAACUUUCAACAACGGAUCUCUUGGUUCUG
rnacentral:misc_RNA from 1 species